GGUAUAGCUCAGUGGCACAGCGCUUGCCUGACAAGCAACUGCAAGGUCCUGAGUUUGAGUCCCAGUAUC
rnacentral:tRNA from 1 species